AGUCACUGACAUUAGAUACCCGCGUAGUCCAGGGUGUAAACGCUGCAGACUUGGUGCUGGAAGUCCUUUGGGGGCAUUCAGUGCCGGAGAGAAGUUGUUAAGUCUGCUACUUGGGGAGUACGUCCGCAAGGAUGAAACUUAAAGGAAUUGGCGGGGGAGCACCGCAACGGGAGGAGCGUGCGGUUUAAUUGGAUUCAACACCGUAAAACUCACCAGGGAAGACUGUUACAUGAAAGCCGAGAUGAAGACUCUGCUAGAUUUUCAG
rnacentral:rRNA from 1 species